rnacentral:lncRNA from 1 species
CACGAUGUAGAGGGCUGACUGGGUGGCAUGAUCUUACACCUGUGGAAUCUGCAAAAUGGACCCUAUGGAAGCAGCGCAGAAUGACAAUUACUAGAGACUGGGAGAGGGAAGAAGUUUUAGAGGUUUCAGUUCAUGGUCACCUGGCUUCAAGGCAGAAGCGUCUUGGCAGUGGGACAUGGAGAAGGAAACCUGCUCACCUGUGGUAGCUGGGAAGCGAAGGCAAGAGCCAGAGAAAAGGGGGCCAUUGACAAACUAGAGUCCUCCAAAUCACACUCCCUGACCCACUCCCUUCACCUAACCCCUGCCACCUGUUUCCACGGUCUUCCAACAAUACUAUCAGAGCAUUAUCUCAUCAGUUGAAUAAUCCACUGAUAAAUUUAGAGCCCGUAUAUCCAAUUGCCUUCGGAAAGGGGAGAGGUAUUUUAGAUCUAAACCAUGACAACUGUGUAUUUCAAAAUAACUAAAGAGCAGAUUCAAAUGGAUUUCUUUGGUUUAAUUAUUCUAAGAAGAUGAACCAUGAGGUAAUUUAAGGGAAGAACUAGUUUUGUGCAGAAUGUGGAUAAAUGGAAAGGACCACAAUUUUAAUACAGAGAAUGUGUAAUCGAAGAGCCCAAGUCAGAAAUUCUCCUCACCGGAUCCCUUACAGUACUAUGGAAGGACUGGUCUCAGCAGGGAUGUGUGUCACAAAUAUGGAAGACUGGGAAUCAAACGAGGUUUGAACAGUAUCAUUCAAUCUACAAAUAUUUGCCUUCAAAAUACCUUUUUCACACAUGCAACACUGGUCUCAUAUUUUGAGACACUUCCAAUUUACAAAGCUUCAUCUCUGCGGUUCCUUGAUGUAGGCUGAGCACACGUUAACCACACUGUUUUUCAGAGGGACUGAAGUCUGGGAAGGCUCAGUGACUUGGCAGAGAUCACAUAAUCAGCAACCAGCGGGUCCUCUGGCUCUGCUACAGCUGCCUCAAGACUACAGAGCAAGGCAAGCUACACCUGCCAUGAAUUUCCAUAUUCCACUUCUAAUGGUGCCGCAGGCUGUCCCCUCAUAUAAUUAGCUCCUCUGUGGAACCCGGUGUAUCUAGGACAAAGACAGUGGAUCUGCUUGAAUGGAAUAAGUAGUGAAGAGCUGAGCUCUAUCCACUGGGAAAUCCCUGAACAACAGCGAUCAAACUUUGAGGUUCUAAAGUAUAAGUUCAUGGCCCAGGAUGUAGCUCAGUGGUGGAGUACUUGCCUCACAUGCAUGAGGCCCUGAGUUGGAGCUACAGAACCGCCAAGAGAAAAUGCAGAUUUGGCCCACAGCAGGUAUGUACUCCUGGUGCCCAACUGGUCUAACUCCACACACCAUCAAACCCAUCCUGCUACUUUCCCAGACCAGCAUCCAUGCUCAUGACACAACUUCCCCUUGAAUCUCAG